rnacentral:rRNA from 1 species
AGAGUUUGAUCAUGGCUCAGGAUGAACGCUGGCGGCGUGCCUAAUACAUGCAAGUCGAGCGAACGGACGAGAAGCUUGCUUCUCUGAUGUUAGCGGCGGACGGGUGAGUAACACGUGGAUAACCUACCUAUAAGACUGGGAUAACUUCGGGAAACCGGAGCUAAUACCGGAUAAUAUUUUGAACCGCAUGGUUCAAAAGUGAAAGACGGUCUUGCUGUCACUUAUAGAUGGAUCCGCGCUGCAUUAGCUAGUUGGUAAGGUAACGGCUUACCAAGGCAACGAUGCAUAGCCGACCUGAGAGGGUGAUCGGCCACACUGGAACUGAGACACGGUCCAGACUCCUACGGGAGGCAGCAGUAGGGAAUCUUCCGCAAUGGGCGAAAGCCUGACGGAGCAACGCCGCGUGAGUGAUGAAGGUCUUCGGAUCGUAAAACUCUGUUAUUAGGGAAGAACAUAUGUAUAAGUAACUGUGCGCAUCUUGACGGUACCUAAUCAGAAAGCCACGGCUAACUACGUGCCAGCAGCCGCGGUAAUACGUAGGUGGCAAGCGUUAUCCGGAAUUAUUGGGCGUAAGGCGCGCGUAGGCGGUUUCUUAAGUCUGAUGUGAAAGCCCACGGCUCAACCGUGGAGGGUCAUUGGAAACUGGAAAACUUGAGUGCAGAAGAGGAAAGUGGAAUUCCAUGUGUAGCGGUGAAAUGCGCAGAGAUAUGGAGGAACACCAGUGGCGAAGGCGACUUUCUGGUCUGUAACUGACGCUGAUGUGCGAAAGCGUGGGGAUCAAACAGGAUUAGAUACCCUGGUAGUCC